GACGAACGCUGGCGGCGUGCUUAACACAUGCAAGUCGAACGGAAAGGCCCCUUUGGGGGUACUCGAGUGGCGCGCGGGUGUGUAACACGUGAGUAACCUGCCCUGGACUUCGGGAUAACUUCAGGGAAAUGGGGCUAAUACCGGCAAGGAAUCCUUGCUGCAUGGUGGGGGUUGGUAAGCUUCGGCGGUUUUGGAUGGACUGGCGGCGUAUCAGCUUGUUGGUGGGGUAGUGGCUUACCAAGGCUUGGACGUGUAGCCGGCCUGAGAGGGCGACCCGCCAUACUGACUCUGAGAGGCGGCCGAGGUUGCGACGGGAGGCAGCAGGGGGGAAGACUGCACAAGGGGUGGAGGCCUUAUGCAGAAAGUCCGCGUGCGGGAUGACGGCUUUCGGUGUGUAAACCGCCUUUAGCAGGGGCGAUGCCUGUGGUGACGGUACCUGCAGAAGAAGCACCGGCUAACUACGUG
rnacentral:rRNA from 1 species